ensembl:lncRNA
GGGACAGGUGAUUUACCUUGAUACUGGAAGAAUUAGUUUGAAUAUGUUUUAAAUUAUACUCAUACAGGAAUCAAAUUGUCCCGUUACGGGGUUGAAUUUAUAACAAUCUAAGUGCCAAAGAAACUCCUAAUAAUGUUUGGGAUUUCAUGCCUAAGGUGGGAAAAUGUAUUUUCACAGAGGUUCAAAUAGUCCUUCAUCAGAUGCAAUGUUCAGAAACCCAAUUUUUUGUGGUAUAUUUGUCAGUAACCAGAGAACCCAAUGUGCACCGAAUUCAGAGAAUCACCCAGCUGCCAUCAGCGAGGACCAUGAGCCAAACUGGCCAAAAUAUGAUAUGACGAUCAUCAGAACUUGUGACAACUACAAAGAUGCCUGUAGGAUUAUGGAGCAGUAUCAGACCGGCUGCAACACCUCUGAUCUACAGUCUGAGGCAGAGCAGGAGUGCGGGCCACCAGAUAAGAGACAAAGGAGGCCAGUCCAUCGUUUCGGAAACCCUGACCAGAGCGAAGAAGAUGUGGAAGAUAUAGUGUCUCAGUUGGAAGCACUACCAGUGCUUCCACGCCCAAGCCAAUUGCCCCGGCAGACUCCACUAUCUCGCCGAGUGCCAGGCAGUAGAUUCAGUCCUCCUCAACCUGGAGAAAAUUGUCCAGCACCUCACCAUGGGGCAGGACUGCAUCACCCUGCACCCGCUUUGAACAUGCAGAGAGUUACUCAAGGAACAGCAGUCCCUCCUCAACUCCCUCCACCCCCCGCACCAGCCCUCAACAUGCAGCCUUCUUCCAGCCUGGCCUACAGACCAACAUGGCGAGGGGGAAGAAUGGCCGAUACCAUUCCCUGCUCUGCGGCAGAGUUCCAAAUUCUAAGCCUGCUGGAAACGAUAAAACACCAAAACGACCAAUUUACGGCUAUGGUGAACCUACUCACCAGUAGGAUGACCAGCACCCCGGGGGCCAGAUGUGGAGAUGCCGGACAGCAUUCAGUUUCCCCUGGAACAAUUGGAAGCAGUGGAGGCAUUUGAACAGUUUUUAAAGGAACCGUCAAAUGGCCCAGCUCGACAGAGAGUGAUCAAUUGGAAGGGUGUCCACAACAAAAAGCCUUUUAGCAAGAUGGCAACAAAGACCUUGCUUUUCAUUGCUGUGAGGAAAAACGUGGUGACACGGUCAGCCACCGACGCGGAGGUCACCAAACACGCCAUCAGGUGGUUCAACCUGGCGUCGGAUCGAGCGGCGAGGAGACGUGUCCCUCCUCCAUCCACUCAUUUGACCCAAUGAAUAACAAUUAAACAAUCUUUUGAUUG